GGCCCUGCUUCCUGCUCCUGCCACGACCCCCAGCCGCUCGACCACAGGAGGUUCCUCAGAGCACCACUCCCAUCCUCCUCCGUUCCCUGGCCACGUGGGCACUGCUGCUGCUUAAGACCCUUUUACCUGCCUUAUCUGCCAGACUCAGAAAAGGGGAGCAAACUACCUCAAGUUGUGUAGCCAGUCAGCGAUGGAGGAGAAAGCAGAGGCCACAACACCGAGCUCUGUCCGGAGCCCAUGGCCUGGUGCAGACUGACCCGGCAGCAGCAGGCUUCCUCCAUGUGACCGCCAGCCCUGUGGGAAGCUGCUUUGUAGGCAUUGUUGAACGACAAAGGAAAUCACCCGAGCAUGGAAGAGUCUUGCACAGGUCCCCAGGGACAAGAGACACCUGCUGUGACGGGCCAGGCGGCCUUUGCAGAGCCCUGGCCAAGCGUGAGAAUGAAGACCUGCUUUCGGGUAAAUAGAAAGACAGAGGGGAAGUUUCCAGCAGCAGUCAGGGGCAGACGGGCCUUUCACCCCCUUCUGUGACGAUCACUGCCAGGUGACCAUGCAGCCUGUCCAGCACCAGGGCUGCAUCUGAGCCACGAAUGAAGGUGUUGGACAGGACAGAGUCCAUGACCCUCCACGGAGGCCUCCCACCAACGUCCACGCAGCCUAACAGUCCCAGGGACUGCUGGGCCCCAGAAAGGCUUACGACGCCCCACGAGGAAAAGUAUUCUUGGAAUAGAAGGAUAUGCUCACUAGAAACAGCUUGGGUUCACGGGGCACAAAGCAUUCCAGGCACAAGAGAAGAGGCCACCGGGGCAGGAAUAGACAUAUUUCGCAUUUGCAUACACCCAGGACAUUGGAAGUGCUCAGCAAUGCGUGUAGAAUGGAGCCCGGGAGGUGACCCCAGUGGACCAUCCCAUUUGUCUGAUCCGUUCAACAUCUGAUCAAAGGGCUCAAAUGAAGACACACCCAGUCAUCAGUGGCCAUCUGAAAUGUUGUAACAUAAACAUC